GGGCAGGUUCCAGAGUGGUCAAAUGGGGCGGGCUGUAAACCCGCUGCCGCAAGGCUUCGGAGGUUCGAAUCCUUCCCUGCCCA
rnacentral:tRNA from 1 species